rnacentral:rRNA from 1 species
CCUACGGGUGGCAGCAGUGGGGAAUAUUGGGCAAUGGGCGCAAGCCUGACCCAGCAAAGCCGCGUGAAGGAAGAAGGCUUUCUGGUUGUAAACUUCUUUUCUCAGGGACGAAGCAAGUGCCGGUACCUGAGGCAUAUGCCUCGGCUAACUACGUGCCAGCAGCCGCGGUAAUACGUAGGCGGCAAGCGUUAGCCGGAUUUACUGGGUGUAAAGGGCGUGUAGGUGGGGAGGUAAGUCAGAUGUGAAAACCAUGGGCUCAACCUGUGGACUGCAUUUGACACUGUGUUUCUUGAGUACAGUAGAGGAAGACGGAAUUCGUAGUGUAGCGGUGAAAUGCGGAGAGAUGAGGAGGAACACC